AGUGUGGGACUGGAGCUGGGAGCCGAGAGGCAACACCCCUUGCUCACACACUGCAACCUGCUCCCUUGGGGAGGGAUCCUCCGGGCUCCAGCUCCCGCUCGCUCGGCUCCGCCAAGCUGCGGGCAGCAGAGAGCGAGGAGGGACCGAGACCUGGCGCUGCCGGUUAACAGUCCCCGCAGGAGGGGCAUCGUAAUUACUCACUGCGCUAAUUGCCCGUCAUUAAAGUUCAGGAGACAGUCCGAAGAGGAGCCUGGAGUGGAAGAAGAGGCAGGUGGUGUCUGGGGCUUGGGCUGCCGGCCGGGCCAGGGUUAAGUGCUUGCCUUCCCCGCUGCCCGGCUUUCGGCCAGCUCGCCUUCAGUGAGAGGCCAAAGUCACUGCCAGGGACCCAGAAGGUACGUCGCGAGCCGGCCGACCCACAUCGGACCCCUCCCCCAUCACGGCCUCUAGGAGGAGGCAGAAAGUGGGGGUUCCUGGGUAGGAAGCCCCUGCCAGCCUGGAGUCCCAGAGCAGAGCUCGAGAGGGGCUGCGAGGACACAGAGAUGGCCGAUGAGAUUGACUGGCUGGACUUGCCAGGCCGGUGGGCCUACGGAGUUGACGGCGGUGGGAGAAUCUUCUUCAUCAAUGAUGAGGAAAAGUCAACCAGCUGGGUCCACCCUAGUACGAAAUCACCCAUCCAGAGUGGACAUUCCUUUGGCCCAGAUUUGCCCAAGGGCUGGGAGAUGGAUUCCACUCAGGAAGGAGCUGUGUAUUUCAUCAAGUGAGUAAGAUGGA